GCCUGAGUGGCUCAGUUGGUUAAGUGUCUGAUUUCAGCUCAGAUCAUGAUCUCAAGGUCCUGGGAUUGAGCCCCAUUUCAGGCU
rfam:Ailuropoda melanoleuca scaffold1980_28, whole genome shotgun sequence.